rnacentral:rRNA from 1 species
UACGGAGGGUGCGAGCGUUAAUCGGAAUUACUGGGCGUAAAGCGCACGUAGGUGGUUUGGUAAGUCGGAUGUGAAAUCCCAGGGCUCAACCUUGGAAUUGCAUUCGAUACUGCCUCACUAGAGUACGAUAGAGGAAGGUAGAAUUCCCGGUGUAGCGGUGAAAUGCGUAGAUAUGCUGUAGAACACCAAUUGCGAAGGCAGCUUACUAUACCAAUACUGACGUUCAGGCACGAAAGCGUGGGGAGCGAACAGG